CUGCGGGCUUAUGACUGAGCGCCUCUAAGUCAGAACCCCGCCUAGACGUAGCGAUACCGCAGCGCCGCCGGCGCCUCGGUGGGCUCGCGAUAGCCGGCCGCCCGCCCCGCGCGGGGCGGGCCCGGUGCGGAGCGCCGCUCGUGGUCGGGACCCGGAGGGGCGGACGGAUGCGGCGCCGCCUCUCCCCCGUCGCGUACCGCAUGAUCGUGGGGCACCCGGCGCUAAAUCAUUCGUAGACGACCUGAUUCUGGGUCAGGGUUUCGUACGUAGCAGAGCAGCUCCCUCGCUGCGAUCUAUUGAGAAUCAGCCCUCGACACAAGCUUUUGU
rnacentral:ncRNA from 1 species